CUGCGAAUGGCUCAUUAUAUAAGUUAUCGUUUAUUUGAUAGUGCCUUUCCUACACGGAUAACAGUGGUAAUUCUAGAGCUAAUACGUGCGAAAUGCCCCGACUUCGGAAGGGGCGUAUUUAUCAGAAUCAGAACCAAUGCCCUCACGGGCUCCCUGGUGGCUCAUGAUAACUCCACAGAUCGCAUGGCCUUGCGCCGGCGAUGGCUCAUUCAAAUUUCUUCCCUAUCAACUUUCGACGGUACGGUCUUGGCCUACCGUGGUUGUAACGGGUGACGGAGGGUUAGGGCUCGACCCCGGAGAAGGAGCCUGAGAAACGGCUACUACAUCCAAGGAAGGCAGCAGGCGCGCAAAUUAUCCAAUCCCGACUCGGGGAGAUAGUGACAAUAAAUACCGAUACAGGGCUCUUUUGGGCCCCGUAAUUGGAAUGAGUACAAUUUAAACCUCUUAACGAGGAACAAUUGGAGGGCAAGUCUGGUGCCAGCAGCCGCGGUAAUUCCAGCUCCAAUAGCGUAUAUUAAAGUUGUUGUGGUUAAAAAGCUCGUAGUCGAACCUCGGGCCCGUCCGGCCGGUCCGCCUCACCGCGUGCACUGGUCUUGUCGGGCCCUUCCCUCUGCGGAACCGCAUGCCCUUCGCUGGGCGUGUCGGGGAGGCAGGACUUUUACUUUGAAAAAAUUAGAGUGCUCAAGGCAGGCCAAUGCUCGGAUAGAUUAGCAUGGAAUAAUGAAAUAGGACGUCGGUUCUAUUUUGUUGGUUUCUAGGACCGCCGUAAUGAUCAAUAGGGACGGUCGGGGGCAUCAGUAUUCGGCCGCGAGAGGUGAAAUUCUUAAACCGGCCGAAGACUAACUACUGCGAAAGCAUUUGCCAAGGACGUUUUCCCUGAUCAGGAACGAAAGUUAGGGGAUCGAAGACGAUCAGAUACCGUCGUAGUCUAAUAAACGGUGCCGACUGGGAUCGGGCGCUGUUCUUUCUAGACGCGCUCGGCACCAUUCGAGAAAUCAAAGUGCGUGGGCUCCAGGGGGAUAUGGCGGCA
rnacentral:rRNA from 1 species